rnacentral:lncRNA from 1 species
CAGUGUGAAGUGUUAAUGGAAAAAUCCAACAUCCUUCUCUUCCAAUGGUGAUGAGCAAAACCAAAAUGGAGGUUUCCCUGGUAAGUUUUAAAAGAACACUCUAAUUUCAGAAUGGAAAUAUUUACUAGGCUUUUACAUUUUUGUGUCUUUUUACAUAUUUCUUUCUGUACAAGAAAUGUCUUUUAAAAAAAAUUUAAUAUUUAUUUUUGAAAGAUAGAGAGAUAGUGUGAGUGGGGGAGGGGCAGACAGUGAGCCUGAAGCAGACUCUGUGCUGACAGCGGAGAGCCUGAUGCAGGGCUUGAACUCACAAACCAUGAGAUAGAUCAUGACCUGAGCUGAAGUUGGACGCUUAACAGACUGAAACACCUAGGUUCCCCUGCACAAGAAAUGUCUUUUCGAAAGCUCAUGUUUGCUUGAUGAUAAUUACUUGUCUCUAUUGUUUUAUGUGAAGAGUUCAGUUAGUUACUUUAUUAGUUUCCUACAGCUUCCAUAACAAUGUGUGCUCCACUGAGUGGCUGAAGCAACAGAAAUUUGUUGUCUCACAGUUCUGGAGGCUAGAAGUCCAUAUGAAGGUAUAUUGCAGGUUUAGUUCCUUCUGAGGACCAGGAGAGAAGAAUCUAUUGCACGUUCUUCUUGCCCAGUUUUUGGUGUUUUGCUGGCAAUCCUUGGCAUUGCUUGGAUUACAGAUGUUAUCAUCCUAAUCUGCAUCUACACAUGGCCUUUCCCUGUGUGCUUGUCUCUGUGUCCAAAUUUGGCCUACAAUUAAUGACAUAGUCAGAUUAGGGCCCACCCUAAUGACCUCAUCUUAACUAAUGACAUCUGCAGUGAUCCUACUUCCAAAUAAGGUCAUAUUCAGUACCAGGAGUUAAGACCGCAACAUAAGAAUUUUGGGGAGAUAUAAUUCAACCCGUAAAACAGUUAUCAAAUACUGCACCGCACCAUUCUGAAGGAUUGGAUCUGUGUCUUCUGACCUCUGAGCUCAGGCAUGGGGUCUUAAACUUUGUAAACAUUCAAUAAAUUAGGGUAGAAUGCCUUAGAAUUGUGGCACAAAAUCCCCGCAAAAGAUCCCAGUGACCUAGAACCAAAAAAGUACUAUGAGAAAUAUUACUACAAGUACAUUUCCUUUUUGAAUCCAAGGCCUUGUAUCUGCACAACUCUUGGUUGAUUAUAAAGAUUUCAGUUUCCAAACAAAUCUUCAUUUUCUAAGGGAAAUAAAGUGUGACCAAAUAAUUCCAAAGGGAAAUGAAGGGGGAAACACACACACACACACACACACACACACACACACACACACAUACACACACACACACAAAUAAAGUAGGUUAUGAGCAGCUGGGGAGCUCUUUCGGAGAUUAUGGAGACCUAAGACAUUUCUCAUGUCCACCAGCUUUAAUUUGAUCUAAAACAGACACAAUAAAUUGAUACAUGAAAUUAAAAAAAAAUAACUAAAACAAGCAAGGCAGAAAAGCCAACAGGGUCAGCUUUAUUAAUGGGCAAACACUCAGUGGCCACUAGGGAUGUCUCGUAAGAAUCAAGUGGAAACUAUUCAUUCCUUGGGUUAAAAUCAAGGUGAUGUCUCUUAACCUGCCUUCCCACCUGGGAGAGGUUGGUGGCACUGAGCUGACUUUGUCAAGAUAAGAAUUGCAGUCUUGACUCCACCAGGUCGGCAAUAGAAGAGUAAUGCAUUAUGGUACUAGGCCACAUUAUAAAUUCCAUGGGCCCCAGGUGCUUUUGUCUUUGUAGGCCCCUUCCUCCAAAAUAAAAGCAAAAAGCAAAAAUUGUAUUUUAUGACUCUGUUGGCGUAAAGACUGUUGUUACAUUAAUAGUACAUAUUAAAACAUGAUUUUUGACCUAAAAGGUCAUUUUUUAAAAAAAUCUCAUUUCAAAAGCAAUUAAAACAUUCCUGUGGCCCCCAGAAGCAUUUUCAACCCAACACACUGUGCCUGCUGUGACGCAGGCACAAGUCCAUUCUGCCUGGCCAAAUCACAUGGGCGUCUGGAAGGUAGGCCUUGGACUUCUGUCCAGGUGUAUGAUGUACAUGGUGGCUGAAAACAGAAGAAUGUCCAUGGCUUCUCAUAACCUCAUCCAGUGAAGACACAGGGGUAGCCUUUUUCCUGCUUGUGAGGCCACUGGUGAGUGUGGUGAGAGGUAAGCCCUAUACUCUGCCUGACUCCGUUAGCAUAGGAGAGAGGCCCUGCUUUCAUCCACUUCUGCAGGCUUCAGGCUCCAUCCUCCUUCCUCCUGUUCUCUCUCCACUUCUACCCUCUCCACAUACAAAUCAAAGAAGCAGCAGAGGCAGCCUGGGCAGGUCAGGUGGCUUUCGGUAGCAGGGGAAGCAGGAAAGGAAGAUUCUCCUAGAAUCUUUCAAAAAGGCAUCCUUGUUGCAAAAUGAAAGGGGAAAGGGAAGAGGAAUCCCAUUUGUCAUUAAUAUGUACCAAGCCCUUUGCUGUGCAUUUUGCAUUUGCUAUCAUGUUUAAUUCUAAGGACAAUACUUUCCUGCCAGGAGGCAUCCUCCCGGCCUCUCCUGCAGAGGAAGGAAAGCAGCCUGUGAAUGGCAGAGUCUACAUUCGCUGUUAGCUUUUUUGAGCUCUCAUGCCUAGAUGUGGUAUUUUACUGUCUACAUUUUAGUUGCCAGUUUAGUUCAAGAAAAUUUAUAAUGGCGGUCAGAUAGUGUGAGGAGGAGGAAAAUGUAUUUUUUUUAAUCCCAGACAUGAGUAAGUGGCCUUUUACAUUGACUCAGAAGAUUUAAGUAUCUGUAUCUCUGCAGAGUCAUUCAUUUUACCCACAAUCCACCAGCAGCACCUUUGUGACAUGCCAGUGAUAGCUAGUAGAAAUUCAGCAUCUCCGGUCCGUCUGGUGAUUGUCAUAACCUUUUCUGUGCUAAAUAGCUGGAUUAAGAAAAAGCCCUGGUUUCCACCACUGGACCAUGAUCCUCUUUAAAUUGUUUUUUAUUUAAAUACCAAUACCUUUGCUUCACAAAAUCUGCUCUGAUACUUAACACAGCUUUACAGUAACAAACACUUAAACAUAUUGCCAGGCUUUGUGAAUCCAAUUAAGAUCUCCUUAAGUGCAUCGCUGUCUUUGUAAUUAAAAAAAAAGAAGAAGAAGAAGAAGAAAAACACUUCACAAACCCUCUUUUUGCUCAAGAUUCUAUUUGCUGUUAUUUAGACCUCAAAAAACCAGAUGCUAGAUAGUCUCCCCUUGAUAUCAUGAUUAACUGGUUACUAAGCACAGAGUUACUGCAUGUAAUUUGCUCAUUUUUUCAUUAUGUGGUUUUCUUUGUAAAUAGCUUUACUACUUUAAAAAAAAAUUUUAACGUUUACUUAUUUUUGAGAGAGACAGACAGACAGACACAGCACGAGUAGGGGAGGGGCUGAGAGAGAGAGACACAGAAUCUGAAGCAGGCUUCAGGCUCUGGGCUGUCAGCACAGAACUUGUUGCGGGGCUCCAACUCAGGAGCCUCGAGAUCAUGACCUGAGCUGACGUUGGAUGCUUAACCGACUGAGCCACCCAGGCGCCCCUUGUAAAUAGCUUUACUACUUUUAAAGAAUUCCUUCCAAGCUCUUUUUCUUUCUUUUAAAAACAUAAGUUAAAUCAUUCGCCUUUAUGUAAGAUGCAGGUUGCCCAUGCCCCUCCCUCCCCCCUUCUUUUUUUAUCAUAAAACACAAUUUCCUUAUUCCAUAGGGGUGAAAGUACCCGUCAGAGCUUUGUAAAGGUUUUUGUUUUCUUUAAAAGUGAGAUAGUUCAUGCUCUGCAGGUCCUUGUCAACAUAGAUCUCAACAGGAAAGAAUUUUAAAAUUAACUUAAAGUAGUCCCGAGAUGUGAAAAAUACCAUGCAGAAGGGGGAGGAUUGUCCCAACAUUAUACAGGUGUGUUUCUUCAUUCCGACCUUCGGAGACCAUCAUGUGAGUCAUACCUCCCCUCCCCCUCACAUCUGUAACCUGAGUUAUCACUGUUGUUCCCCGCCCAAGUCAGGCAGAGCUCAUUAGACACUGUGCAUGCCGUAACUGUCCCCCUCACUCCCACGCCACAGCCACCCCCCACCACCCUUCCCCCACUGCCCCAAAGGUGUUAUAUAUCUUCUCUGCCAUUCUCCCUGCCUUCUCUGCCUUUGACCUAUCAGCCCAAUUCAAUUCUACAGAUAUUUCUGCAAGUGUAGUAAACUGCCACACAGUAAACUGUGCUUUAUGUCAGUUUGACUUAAAAGAUUUUCUUUAACAUGAAUAACAGAUCUAGCCUUCUCUCUAAAAUAAGAUUAAAUAUAUAACAUAGUAUAAUAUAAUAUAACAUAGUUUGGUAUUAUAAUUUAUAGUAAGGACUGUAUAUUUGGUUUUCAUCCCAUUUCUGGUAAAAAGCUCCUAAAACCCUUACACCUGCCUAAGCAAUAACAAUACCGUAUUGCAUGUUUGAAGGUUGGCGGGAGAGUAGAUCUUAAAAGUUCUCACCACAAGGGAAAAAGCUUAUAACUAUAUAAGGUGAUGGAUGUUAAGUAAACUUAUUGUAGUGAUCAUUCCAAUAUAUGUUAGGUAAUAUUAUAUUCAAUUAUAUAUAUUACAUAUAUAGUUGAAGGUGUACAACAUGAUUCAAAGCCUUAUGUUGUAUACCUUAAACUAGUACAGUGUUAUAUGUCAGUUAUAUCUCAAUAAAACAGGAAAGAUCUUUUUAGCAAGAACAUUAGGAGCAUCUUUUGUUAUAAUAUGUGAUCUUUUGUUUUUGGCUCCUGAAAAAGUUGCAGGGUAUAAAGGUGAAAGGAAUCUUAUUCAUAACAAGCCCCUUGUAAACGCAUCUGAGUUUCUGUUGAAUAAAUGACUUUCGGAAAGCCCCCAAGGAUGGCACUGAUCGCUGGGGGAACCAAUCAUAGUGAGAAAGUUGGGACUUUAAAUCUCACCCCUCAACCUCCAGGAAGGGGAGAGAGGUUGAAAUUUGAAUCAAUCAAAUAAUGGCUGGAGAUUUAACCACCGAUGCCUACGUAACGAAGCCUCCAGAAAACCCCAGAAAGAUGGGAGUAGGGAAGCUUCUGGGUUGGUGAACACAUGGAGGUGCUGGGAGGGUGGUGCCCCCGCCCAGAGAGGUCAUGGAAGCUCCACUCCCCUUUCCACAUACCCUGCCUUAUACAUCUCUCCCGUCUGCUUGUUCCUGAGUUCAUUCUUUUCUAAUAAUGAAUAUGUGAUGGGACUAUAACUACGUAUUCCCUUUGAUCGAUAAAUACUCUCAAUUACUAUGCGAAUCUAACUUUGGUUUUCAUUUAUGGACUAGCCCUAGCUUGCCUGGGUUCUCUCAGGACUCAGGCCAGGUUGGACCAAAGCUGACUGGCCAAGCCUCCAGAGGGCCAUGUAGUCCCUUAUAACUGUAGUCAUCAAUAAAGGUUUUGGAACUAGUAUCAGUGGAUAUAUACUUGGCUAGUAAUUUUCAUCCUACUUAAUGUCAUGACCCAACCUACUAUAGUCUGACUUUUUGAUACUGUCUUGACUCCUCCACUUCACCCCGUACACUAUGUGGUUAGAACCUCUUUUAAUUAAAGUGAAUUAAAUUGUGUCCUGAGAAUUUCAUGAAAUCUCACUUAAGGUCACUAAGAAUCCAUUUAAUUUCUCCAAAUCUUGGAAUGUUAGCAUCAAAUUUGUAUUUACCCAUGAUAGAUAAAUUUUUCAGUGUCUGAAAACUUACCAUAGUUCACAGGAUACGUUAGCAACUGUUCCGAACAGUUGGUUAGAAACACUUGAUGAGCAGGAAGUUGGGGUUGCAUAUUGGAUUUAUUGCCACUAGUCACUUUAUCAAGUAUGCCUGCUUCUCCCAGCUAACUCUCUUCAGGCUUUCUAGCUCACAUGAGAGGAAAGAUGUGUUGUUCACAGUUCUAGGUCUGAGAAUCAGUUAGUCCUAACACCCUAGUGGAUCACCUACAGUAACCAAUCCCUUCAAGCUUCUCAUUUAUUUUUUCUGCUUCCUUUUUAGCAUGAGUGACUAAUCAGGUACAAGUGGACUCUUGAACAAUGUGGGGGUUAGGGGCACUGACUCCCACCCCCCCGUUGGGUCAAAACAUUUGAUUCCCCCAAAACUUGACUACUGAUAGCCUCCUGUUGAACUUCAGAAGCAUCGUCAUUAACAUACACAGCCAAUGAACACAUAUUUUAUAUGUUAUGUAAAUUAUAUAUAGUAUUCUUAAAAUAAAGAUAGGUAGAGAAAAGAAAAUGUUAUUAAGAAAAUAAUAAGGAAAGAAAAUACAUGUAAAGAGCUGUACUGUAUUGAUUAAAAAAAAAAUCCACAUGUAAAUGGACCCGGAUUGUUCAAACUUAUGUUGUUCCAGUCAACUGUAAUCAUUAUUGUAGGUAUGUAGAUUUAGUGAAAGUGUGUAUGCUUUGAAUGUAGCCAACAUUUAUGGAGACCCGUGUUUUUAAAAUUGGGCAAACCUGGAAGACAUGAGAGAAAACAUGUCUGUGCUAACUGAGUUUGUAAACCUUGAAAAUAAGAGAGUCAUUUGCCCGCAGCAAAUGAUAGAUUGAAUUUCCCCCAAAGCGAUGAUUUUUAUGAAAAGCAGACCUUGUAGAAAAUGUUGGGAGAUGUAGACAUUUUUAAGAUGUCUCUCCCUUUCCAUUUAAGGCUAAUAUUUUUGGUUUGUUAGGCCUGGAUAUGUGGGCUUAGAUGAUUUUCACAAGUAAAUUAAUAGCUGUAUUUCAGGUUGAUUCCCUUCAAAGAUUAUUACUCUAACUUAGCCUGUUUACAUGUGGAAAGUCAUCAUUUCAUUGUGUUCUUUUAGUGUUUUGAGAGUAUUUUGUUGUUGUUUUUCAUUGUCAUUUUUCAAUGAAGACACAAGGCUUGAGCCUCUUUAGAAAGGAGGAAUGUACAUAAAGACUCCUUUCACCGUGAUGUAUAUGGCAACAUGAGUUUAAAUGUUAGCUUCUCUGUCAAUGUCAAAGUUUGAGAACAUUUUUUGCUAUCUGGGCACCAUGAUAGGAUGGCACCCCAUCUGUGCUCCACUCUACCCAGUGAGGAUUGAAGUGUAGUUAACUAGAAUCAAACUAAUGAAAAACAGGAUUUUGGUGUUGCUGGAAUAUGUAGAAAAAUGUGGAGUCUAAAAAAAUAAUUCUCCCGCCAAGACAGCAUUGAAGAAACUCGUUAUUUUCCAUCUGCCUAUUUCUUGUUCUCAGGGUGAAGUGAAAGCAAAGUUUUAAAACUUUUUUCUCUACUGAAAAAUAAAUAUACUUCAGAAAAUCCCUAUCUAGAGAAUAAAGCAAUUAAGAACUACCUGACUGUGAGGAUCUCGCCCCAGCUCGACUGAAAGCAACAUUUUCAUUGCGUUGCAUCAAGAUGUGCGUGAGAAUCAGCCUGCUCUGAUCGGCCAACGUGCUGAGUGACUUAACAUUUCAAUAAAUAAAUAAAUAUUCAGGCCGUCGUAAAAUAUCCUCUGUAAUUAUAAACACGGGAGACUUUAUGAGACGCAAGUGGGAGUUAAAUGGCUCCGCAACACAAGGUCUGAGCAGUUGGUGUGCUUUGAAAUUGGGAGACCUUGGGAAAAUUAAAUCUACCAAAAGACCAUUACCAUUUGUUUCCAAGGCUUGAUGUUUUUGUAAAAAUUUUUCAGCUCUCUAGUUUGGAAAUACAAAGGGGUUUGAAUUCAUUUGAUUCUAGCAGCAUAUGUAGGGUACCAUCUAACAUUAGGGCAACUUGAAUAAUUUUUUGAGCCAAAAGUUUAACUUCUGCUUUAGAAAGUUUAACUUCUACUUUAAAAAAGAUAUGUAGAUGUUAUUAUUGCCUGCAUUAAUGUGGAAAUUACUAAUUGCUAGUUACUUUAUUUUAAUUAAUUAGAUUUAAAAAAAAAUUUUUUAAUGUUUAUUUAUUUUGAGGCAGAGAAAGACCGAGUACAAGCAGGGGAGGGGCAGAGAGAGCGGGAGACACAGAAUCCAAAGCAGGCUCCAGGCUCCAAGCUGUCAGCACAGAGAAUGACGUGGGGCUCGAACUCACAAACCGUGAGAUCACGACCUGAGUCGAAGUCGGACACUUAACUGACUGAGCCACCCAGGCGUCCUAAUUAAUUAGAUAUUUAAACACUGGCUGCAUGUGCCUAGUCCAAGGCUAUGUAGUAUUGGAAAAAUUAACAUUAUAUAUGUUGCCUGAUCUAUGCUUCCUGGGAAGCAAGAUUUUGGAAAUAGUUUGAUAUGGAAACACUUUUUAAAACAUUUUUUUAAAUGUUUGUUCAUUUUUGAGAGAGAGACAGAGACAGAGACAGAGCAGGAGUGGGGGAGAGGCAGAGAGGGAGACUCAGAAUCUGAAGCAGGAUCCAGGCUCUGAGCUGUCAGCACAGAGUCUGACACAGGGCUCAAACCCACAAACCGUGAGAUCGUGACCUGUGCUGAAGUCGUGGCCGAUUGAGCCACCCAGGCGCCCCAACACUUUUUUAUGUAAAUCACUAGAUAGUAUUUAUUCAAGUCCCAAACUGAUUUUGACCAAGUUCUACAAUGUGAUACAGAGAAAGCAAUAGUUAGCAAUCAAGAGGUUUAUGUUGUAAGAAAUAUUUAGGUAGGCAAUAUAGAUGAUUUAAGAAUAUUUAUAGGCCCAGAAAAAUUGGUAGAACUUUGGUAGGUAGAGAUGGCCAGAGCAGAGAUGCACGGUAAAUAGCAGAAAACUACCAGUGAAUUUAUGAAUUAUAUCCCUGAUUACCUUUUCCAAAGUAUGUACGUAUCAUGUAUCUGUCAUUAGUGAAGUUAAUGAAUCAGUUAGUAUCUCUCGAUGAUUUCUAAAUAGUAGACUAUUCCUUUCUUGAUAUGUGUAUUAUCCUAACAGUUGGCUUGCUCAAUAAGCAGCUGUUUUUCUCACCAAGGGCUGUUAACACACGUAGGUGAUAGUGCAUGCUUUACCACUACACUAGCUCUCUGUGUACUUUUGACAGGAUCAGCUACCUGAUCUGUGAGGUCCUGUGCAAAGUGAAAGUGGGGUCUUCCUGGUCAAAAAUUAGCAUUAAGAAUUUCAGGAUCAUGACAGGAUGAAACCAAACCCAGCCCUUCUUCUUCUUCUUCCUCUUCCUCCUCCUCCUCCUCCUCCUCCUCCUCUUCUUCUUCUUCUUCUUCUUCUUCUUUAUCUUUUAAUGUCUUUAAAGUUUAUUUAUUUAUUUGUUUUAUGUAAUUUAUUGUCCAGGCCUUCUAAGUAAGGGGCCCUGUGCACCUGCACAAGUCACACACCCAAGAAGCCAGACCAGCCAAUGGGGACAGCCAGAGAAGGUGGAUGAACUCUGCUUAGUGCAGAACCUUCCAGCCUAGGGCACCCUGUACCAAAUGUGCUCAUCAUGGCUGAGCAACCAUUUACUACUCAUCAAUCCUGACUAGUAUAUAGAUAGAGCUAUAAAGUGAUACCAAGUGUGUAACUUUGUGUAAUAUUUAUUUAACAUUAUAUUUGCACAGACAUGUAUGUAAAUAAAUAUGUAGAACAGAGUUCUGAUAACUUCUGGUAUGGCAGCCUUGGGCAAAUUAACUAGAAUAAGAUCAACUGUCACUAUCCAUAAAUCAUAUUGUAUGUCAUGUUAUAUACAUCAUUCCACAAAUACUCUCUCAGCACCCACUUUGUGCUAGAUGAUUUUCAUGGUGUUAAGGAUACAACAGAGAACAGACUAAACAUAAUCCCUGCUCUCAGAGAGCUUUUAUACUAUUGAGUUUCUGAAAUUUUGACUAAUUUGCUCAGGCUUUACUUUGUAUUUUUGCUUUCAUGUUGAAAAACCCCUGGUUUUCUGGCUUUAUUAAGACCAGAAGCUAUUCUUGUCACUAUUUAGAACUGAGAAGAACCAGGACUCUCUGGAAAAGAAUGCGCGGAAAGUCUGCCCUUGAGAGAUUUCCAAGCUGAGGACACUCCUCAGAGCACUUCCCAUGAGUCCAAAAGGCUCAUUUACUUCCAGAGAUUCCUGGGAAAGAAGACAGCCCCCUUAUCUUUGGUCAGAGGACACUUACCAUAAUCCUGAGUGACAAAGGAUUGCCCUGAAUGUCAACUGCAUCCAUCUUAGAGAAAUCAACAACUCUUGCUUGUCACCCUUUCAAAGAAUUUCCUGGUCUGGUUUGGCCUUUCUAUGCCACAUUCCAUUCCAGAACCCCAGCUGAAAUGUUCUCAAGGGCUGACCAGAGAUUCCUCCUCCUUUCUCUGUGUUGGUACAACUUGACCGCUGCUUGACAUCAAGGUCAACUGGAGAUUGGGAACAGUUAUGUAACUGCAUUGUAAAUUGAAUUAGUGCUGUACAUGAGCCCAGACCAUGUAACCAGGGCAGCUCAAGGCAAGUGCAGCAACGUGUCCCCAGGAGACAGCAUCGACAGCAUCGCAGGAACUGCUUGCUGCUGAAAGGAAAUCAUGUAUCACAGGAGAAAAAGAACACAACCCAUCUCGUUCCAGUCCCUUUACAGUCUGGGCAGGCUGCUGCCCUGUCACGUGGGGAGGAAGACAGAGGCAUUAAGCGCAAAGGGAGGUUGUGUAUGGUGUCAGCCUGGCGGCUGGGCACUGACCGUAGCAUGCAUAUGAUACACAUUCUUAGACUGAGAAAAAGAAGUUAUUUUUUAGUGUCAGAAAGGACACCACCCAUAGACGGGAAAAAAAGGCUUAUACGUGUGGAGGAAAGAAGCCUCUGGCAAUCUUCUGUGCAUUGGAGGAUGGACAAGAGAUUUUGUAGGACCAUCCUCCUUCUGCUGGUGACCAAGUUGUUUGGGGGAGAAUAUGUGCACACAGGUCCUAAUGGCUAGAGAUGAAACAUUUUUGGACACCUUUGAUGACCUGGGGACAUUCUCCCCCAAAGUGAGAUGUCAUGCUGGAGAGAGGGAAAAAUAGUAGGUAGGUUUUCUUUACUGGCAAAUGAAUACAGAGGUAACUUUGG